rnacentral:rRNA from 1 species
UACGGGGGGGGCAAGCGUUGUUCGGAAUUACUGGGCGUAAAGGGCUCGUAGGUGGCCAACUAAGUCAGACGUGAAAUCCCUCGGCUUAACCGGGGAACUGCGUCUGAUACUGGAUGGCUUGAGUUUGGGAGAGGGACGCGGAAUUCCAGGUGUAGCGGUGAAAUGCGUAGAUAUCUGGAGGAACACCGGUGGCGAAGGCGGCGUCCUGGACCAAUACUGACACUGAGUGAGCGAAAGCGUGGGGAGCGAACAGG